AACGCGAAGAACCUUACCAGCCCUUGACAUGGGGAGUAUGGGCCUGAGAGAUCGGGUCCUUCAGUUCGGCUGGCUCCCGCACAGGUGCUGCAUGGCUGUCGUCAGCUCGUGUCGUGAGAUGUUGGGUUAAGUCCCGCAACGAGCGCAACCCUCGUCUUCAGUUGCCAUCACGUUUGGGUGGGCACUCUGAAGAAACUGCCGGUGACAAGCCGGAGGAAGGUGGGGAUGACGUCAAGUCCUCAUGGCCCUUACGGGCUGGGCUACACACGUGCUACAAUGGCGGUGACAGAGGGGAGCGACGGGGCGACCCUGAGCCAAUCCCGAAAAGCCGUCUCAGUUCGGAUUGCAGGCUGCAACCCGCCUGCAUGAAGUCGGAGUUGCUAGUAACCGUGGGUCAGCACACCGCGGUGAAUAUGUUCCCGGGCCUUGUACACACCGAGUAUA
rnacentral:rRNA from 1 species